rnacentral:rRNA from 1 species
AUUGAACGCUGGCGGCAGGCCUAACACAUGCAAGUCGAACGGUAGCACAGAGAGCUUGCUCUCGGGUGACGAGUGGCGGACGGGUGAGUAACGUCUGGGAAACUGCCCGAUGGAGGGGGAUAACUACUGGAAACGGUAGCUAAUACCGCAUAACGUCGCAAGACCAAAGUGGGGGACCUUCGGGUCUCACACCACCGGAUGUGCCCAGAUGGGAUUAGCUAGUAGGUGGGGUAAUGGCUCACCUAGGCGACGAUCCCUAGCUGGUCUGAGAGGAUGACCAGCCACACUGGAACUGAGACACGGUCCAGACUCCUACGGGAGGCAGCAGUGGGGAAUAUUGCACAAUGGGCGCAAGCCUGAUGCAGCCAUGCCGCGUGUAUGAAGAAGGCCUUCGGGUUGUAAAGUACUUUCAGCGGGGAGGAAGGCGGUGAAGUUAAUAACUUCACCGAUUGACGUUACCCGCAGAAGAAGCACCGGCUAACUCCGUGCCAGCCGCCGCCGUAA